UACAGAGGUCUCAAGCGUUGUUCGGAUUUAUUGGGUUUAAAGGGUGCGUAGGCGGCCCUGUAAGUCAGUGCUGAAAUAUCCCGGCUUAACCGGGAGGGUGGCAUUGAUACUGCGGGGCUAGAGUACAGAUGAGGUAGGCGGAAUUGACGGUGUAGCGGUGAAAUGCUUAGAUAUCGUCAAGAACACCUAUAGCGAAGGCAGCUUACUAGGCUGUAACUGACGCUGAGGCACGAAAGUGUGGGGAUCAAACAGG
rnacentral:rRNA from 1 species